GCUAGGAGCUGCUGCAGUGUGGCUGACACACGGUGAGCUGAACGGGCUCCACGCUUGCAGUACUGUGGCGUCUGCACGGGUCAUCCAGGAAAAAAGGCACGAAACGAUUGUCUGCCGUUGCUUUCAUGGAGGGAGGGAGGAAGGGAGGGGACACUGACGAUAUGUACCCAAACCCACCCGCAACAAUGUUUUUGCCCCAUCAGGCAUUGGGAGCUUAACUCAGAAUUCCAAUGGGCAGUGGAGACUCCGGGGACUGUGGGAUAGCUACCCACAGUGCACCGCUCCGAGAAUUGAUGCUCGCCACUGUACUGUGGACGCGCUCCCCGAUGUAAUGCGCUUAGUGGGGGGACACACAAUCGACGAAAUAAAGUUGGUUCUGAAAAAUC